CUUCUGGCCUGGGCCCCAGCCCGUCCCCCAGCAUUGGAAAACCAGAAGUUAGCUUCAGCCGCCUUCCGGAGCUGUUGUCGGCCCCUGGCUGAGCCUCAGUUUCCCCUUCAGGUUAACCUCUUGCACUUACAGGGAACCGCUCAAGUAGUAGGCAGUGACUGGUUUCUUUGUCCGUUCAACACGUGUUUCUUGACCGCUUACUGUGUACCAGGUAGCGUUCUAGGCUCCGUGCCUAUAUAAUUCUUGGCCUCGUGCAGCUGACAUUCUGAUGGAGGAGAUAGAACAAAUAAAGACAGAAACGUAAAGAAGGGGCUGAAGUAGAGGAUAACAGAGGCCUGCUUUAGGUGGGGGUGGUCACGGGAGGCUUCUUGGAGGAGGUGGCAUUUAAGUUGAGACCUAAAGGAAGAGGAGAGCUGGCUCUCAUCGGGUCGCUCCUUGGUCUUUCAGUCUCCACUGCCUCAACGCCUCUUGCUGCUAAAUCCCUCUACUAGCUAGCUUCCACCCCUCACCCCACGACCCCCCGCGGAAGGUGUCUGGUGAGGAGCGGAGUGGGGUAGCGUUCUAAGAAGAGGAAACACGCAAGCGAGGCACUUUGUUUGGCAAAGUGAGAGACCAGUAUGCCCAGUGUGAAACAAGCAAGGGAGGAAGUGGGGCUGGACGAGGCUGGGAGGUCGGCAGGGGUCCAACCACAUGGAGCUUUGCAGCUCCUGGCCAGAAGCUGGUAUGGUUCUGAGGACAUUGAAGGUUUCUAUGCAGAGGAAUCUGAUGUGGAUUAAAGGGGCAGCAGUGGACACAUCGGGAUGUAUUUUGGAGAUAGAAUCAGUAGGGCUUGCUGAUGGAGGGGAGAGGUGGGGGAGGGGAGGACAUGGGGGUCUCCGGGACAACUCCCAGGGGUCUCACCUGAAUACCAGUGAUGGUUGGGCCAUGUCCUCACAUGGGGAUGGCUAGCGGAGGGGCAGGUUUGAGACCGGCGGGAAUUCUGACUUCAGUCUGAGAUGUGGAGGUGCCUGGAGCCUGGGGGGCAGGGAGGUCUGGGCUCCAGAUGCAAAGGUGAGAGGGCGUUAAGAGCAGAAGCUAGUGUUUAAGUCCAGGGAAGCUGAUGAGCUCACCCAGGGACAGGGAGAGAGAAGAGACAAAGUCCCAGGAUCGAAGCCACAAAACCCCACUAUUUAUGGGCCGUGUAGAGAGCAGGACUGUCAGGCUGCCAGGGACUGACGAGGGGCUUGGGGGGUAGCCGAGGGGAGAAGAGCCAUGACUCAGAAAGGAGAAGGCUUUCCCGAGAGUGUUUGCCUAGCCCUGGGGAAGGUGAAUUCACUGAGACAUGCUCAUUGCAUCUGACGCCCUGGAGUUGGCCAGCGACUUUUCUAAGAGCAGCUUCCGUGGGGGGUGGAAGCCAGCCCAUGGAAGGCUGCAGCCGAGAGCGGAGGUGAGGAGACUGCAAGACCAGGGAGGCCCCAGUCUAUGAAGGCUGAUUUGUGGGGCUGCUCUCCUUCCUGUCUGAUUAGUAGAGAGAAGGCGGUUGACCUCUGGCACCAGGAUUGGAGCAGAAAUGCCUUGAAUUGCCCCCAUCUGGGACAUGGCCUACAAAGAAAGGCCUUAUCCCGUUUACAUUGUGUGAGAGCUUGCUCUAGAAGAGGUUCAGAACAGGUAGGGGUUUGGCUACUUGAUUGUUUCCAGUUCCUUCGGGAUCCAGGAAGGCAGAAAUUUCUCUCCGGGAAGAGCCUGGAAAAGGGGCAGCCUGUCUGAGGUCUGGGAGAGGAGAGAAGCACUUGACCCUGAGCAUGCAGUGUGGUCUUUGGACUGGAAAUUUCAGGAACUUGGGCGGUUUUUGCCAUCUGGUCAGGUGCCCACCAAUCAGUUCCCUGGGGCCGGCAGAGGGGGGCUUUGCUUUUUUCUGCUCUCCCUUAGCCCUGGGGCCAGAAGCUUGGACACGAUGACUUUUAGGCCUGGUAAAUCUAUAAACUCUGUGGUCCUCAAACUGUGCUCCCUUGACGAAGCAGUAUGGGGGCCUGCCCUCAGUUGCAAUAGAAAAGGGGAUCUUUUCUCAACUUGCAGGAAACAUUAAGAUAAGAGGUGUGUUUUCUCCUAUUUUUAAGUGUUCCACUAAAAUUUCAAGACUUUAUCAUGGACGUCUUGUAGCAUACGCAGAAGCAGAGAGAGUGAUGUGCCGAACCCCCAUGUACCUAUCAGCCAGCUUCAACCAUCAUCAAAAGCUUUUUUAGUAAAUCUUAAACCUUUGGCCUCUGCUUCCCCACCCCCAGCCAACAAAGGCAAUCAAUGAGCAUUUACAGAAACAUGUACAAAGUUGAAUGAAUUUAAAAUGUUUGAGGUAUGUGCCCCAAAAGUAUAUCCGUUGGGCUCCUGGCUGGCUCAGUUAAUAGUGUACCUGACUCUCGAUCUUGGGGUCUUGAGUGCAAGCUCUACAUUGGGCAUAGAGCUUAGUUAAAAAAAAAAAAAAAAAAAAAGUUAAAAAAAAAUGUAUUUCUUCUGCCAGGAGAACUGUUCCUCAUUCAUAUUCUAUAACUAAAGAUGUCAUAAAGCCUUCCGUGAUUUCCAGUACAGGUGUUAGAACUGCUGAUCUCCUCAUUUUCAAACUAGGGGGCUGGGGCCGCACUUAAGCGCUGGCUACAAGCUCAGGCCCCCUUCGGGCUUCCUACUGCCCGCUGAGGCCUGGCCACAGCACCACCCCUGCCCCCCUUGGGCUCGGCCAGGGAGCUAGGAGAGAGCUAGCUGCGGGCAAUAAGAAUGUUGGGGAAACAAAGGUAGCUCUCAAGAGUGCCAGGUUCCCUUCAGACUAAAGGGUAGUAACUGUCACCAGCAGGCCUGUCUUCCGAGUGGCUUCCCAGGGGUAAAGAAACCCUUCCUCCUCUUGCGGCCUCAUCCUCGUUCUCUGGCGUCCGACCCUUUCUUCCGACACUGCCUCGCUAGGCCUUCCUGACCUUGGCCCCGGGAUCCUUCCCCGUUUCCUCCAACGGCAUCUGCUUGGCAUUCUCCUCUGUCCCUUAACUAUGGCAUCCCCAGAUCUCUGCCCGCCCCCCCCCCCUCCUGCCAGUUUUGAUCCACUUGCCCCUUAUGUGCUCUCCUAGAUCCUACUGGGUGCCCUCCUAAAACCGCAGUUCCAGCUGUUUCCCAGGCAGUGUCACUUGAAGGCCCAGCCGGCUCUUCCUAACCUCAGAAGGUGACACCUGCUCUUUAAAACUUCCCUCAGGGCACCAUUUUUGAGCUACCAGAACCCUCCAUGUCUCAGCACUGUAUGAGAUAUUGGGGGUACCAGAAGCCUAGAAGAUUCCUAGUUACCCCAAGAUAGGACAAGGGUUUAGGGCACCUCGGGAAGAGCAUCACCCAAAGGGCUUAGAGCGGUUCUGCCUGGAUCAUCCAUGCAUCAGCAACAGGUGGCUUUUGGCUUCUAAAGAAUGGACUAGAAUUUAGGGAAGGGGAAAAAGGGCAUUGCAGAAGGAGGGAUACGGCAUAUGCAGCGGUUCUGAGGCACCAGGCAACGUGGCCUUUUCAGGAUCAGGAAUGGAAGUUGGUGAAGAAACACAGGAUGUAGGGCUUGAGGACUGUGUGUCUUGUUUUGGGGCUCCCACCAGACCCCAGUCUGCACCUGCUCCUUCGCCGGUCCGCAUGCCCCAACCUGUGGGCCUGCUUCCUUCAAAAUACUCUGUCAAUCCCAUUACUGACUGAGGUUUACUCUUUCCUUUUCCAUCUGAGAUUACCUACCUCCCCAGGCUUUCCUCUACCUCCAAUUUUUUUUUUUUUUUUAAAGAAGGCUUAGAAUAUCACAAAAUGAAAGAAAUUUAAAAUAAGCGGGUGAGGAAAAUGAGACAUGUGCUCCUUCCCUGAGACUGAGGUGGGAAUUCUGGCUGAAGGUGGGAAGCUGUCUGUCAUUUUCUGUCUGUCCUAUCACAUAGUCACUUCCUUACUAAUCCUUUCAAGGGUUAAGCUCCGCUUGAAUCCUGACUGGGCCCUGCUAUACAACCUACAAUGGCUCCCCAUUGUCUCCCUCAUCUGUGCUAGAAAUGCCCUGGCUGUUUCUCAACGCAUCAUCUCUCACUGGGACCUCACAAUCACCCCACCCCGUUUCACUGCCACUCUCUAAGAGGAAGGCCCUCUAAGAAGGACCAGUCCCCCUUUAGAUUUUGCUGUGCCCCUUCUUUCUCCCCUUUGUCCCCGCCGUGCUUUCCUUUAUAUGCUCUGCAGGACUGAGUCCACAAGGCUUUCUAGGAUUUCUCCAGUUCACACUGACCUCCUCCCUUCUCUGCACCCCAUUGCCCUUACUGCUAAUGUUUUUGGAUGAAGCACUCAGUUAUAUUUUGUAGGGUACUUUUCACUAUUUCUCGUGUGUUAAUCCUGUCUUCCCCCAUCAUGCCCAGCCUGAUAUUGGAUAAGAAUAGGCUCAAUAUAUACCUGCUGGUUGGCCAAGCAGUUGAGACAUUGGUGAAUGUGGGACACCUCAGGGAGCUCAGGCCCUUGGAUUUCUGCCUUGAGGCCCCAAGCCCUUGGUUUCCAUAUGGUUUCUCGGAGGUGCUGACAGGUGUACCUGGAGAAGAGCAUGGGGCAGGAGGACCCGUGUGAUUAGGCUCCCACGGGUAAGGUGGUGCCCGAUUCUUCUGCACUCCGUGCUCCCGCUAUUUCUGCCGGGCCUCCGCUGUGCUGGAGCCGAUGAGAACCUUCCCUGCCCUGGCGGAGCUGGCCCAGGCCCUGGCAGCAGGGAGGGCAGAGGUGAGGCAUUCCUCCUCCCAGAGGAGGGCAAGUCCUAGCUCCUCUUUCUAAUGAUUAACAGAACGCAGUGACCCAGGGGAGUAUGGUGGGUUUAGGAAGGUCUUCCCACAUGUGUCACUUCAUCGGAUGUCACCACCGUGAGGCAGAAGAGGUGCAGAGGGCUGCUCAAGCAGCGGGGACGGUCGUCUGGCCAGAGGGGCCGAGGACUCCCACAGUUCCAGUUUGUGUGGUUUCAGGACUCCCUUGUAGCUACGUGAUGAAGAGUAAUCUCUUCACCCCGGCCCGAUUCUAAAUUAUGUCAAGGCAAGGACACCAUGUCCUGCUGAUCCAGGAUCUGGUCUCUUUCCUGGCUCCCAUCCUGAAGGGAGGGACUCAUGCACCUUUACACUUAUUAGAUGCUUAAUACAUAUUCAAUAGUGAUGAUAACAAAUAAUCUGUGGUUCACAUAGAGACCUCCCCUCUCCCGCCUAUAUCGGGCAGUUCCCCAUCCCCUCCCCCUGGGCCCCCCAACAGGUGGCAAAGCUUUUAUGUUCCUGAAGGGAAGGGUGCCUUUGGAGGGGAGUUCGAAUGCCACCUGGCCACUUACGGGGAUGUGGGACCUUAGGCGUCACUUUUAACCUCACCAGGCUGAGAGCCCUUGGUUGUAGCUGGCCUUGGAUGUGCCCCGAGCUCCCGGGUGUAUCUCGUAUGCACGAGAGCAGCUCUUGCCCGGUUUGCUUUCCGCCUCUCCCCAACCCGAGCUGGGUAGAUGCAGGCACUCUGGGCACCUCUGUCCCCUGGGGUGGCACUCAGGGGAGACUGGGGAAGGGUUUGCUGAAUGAGUCAAUAAUUCUAAUCUCAGAACUGGUGUGGGUUAAUAAAAUAAUCCUUAACAUUUAAAGCUCCUAGGGCAGGGCUAGCGUAUAACAGGAGCUUGAUACUUUUCUAAAUGAUUUUAAAUGACAUAAGUAUUACACAAAUGCAUUCUUGUCGUGAAAAACUCAUCCCUCCCCCGUGAUUCUAAUUCCUCCAGCAGAGGUGCCUGGUGUUGUGAGUUUGGUGUAUAUACGACAUGAUUUUUUCUAUCCAUCUCUGUGUGUAUAAAUAUAUAAUUUUACUUCA